CCUACGGGAGGCAGCAGUGGGGAAUCUUGCGCAAUGGGCGAAAGCCUGACGCAGCAACGCCGCGUGCGGGAAGAAGGCCCUCGGGUUGUAAACCGCUUUCAGGAGGAACGAAACUGACGGUACUUCCAGAAGAAGGUGCGGCCAACUACGUGCCAGCAGCCGCGGUGACACGUAGGCACCAAGCGUUGUCCGGAUUUAUUGGGCGUAAAGAGCUCGUAGGCGGUUCGGUAAGUCGGGUGUGAAAACUUUGGGCUCAACCCAAAGCGUGCACUCGAUACUGCCGUGACUUGAGUUCGGUAGGGGAGUGGGGAAUUCCUAGUGUAGCGGUGAAAUGCGCAGAUAUUAGGAGGAACACCGGUGGCGAAGGCGCCACUCUGGGCCGAAACUGACGCUGAGGAGCGAAAGCGUGGGUAGCAAACAGGAUUAGAUACCCUAGUAGU
rnacentral:rRNA from 1 species